UGCAGUACAAGGUCCUACUUUUGCAGAUUUUCAUAUUUUGCAUGAAUGAAUUUGAAGUUUAUAUCAUGGAGGGCAGAGAAAGAAAAGAAACACUUCAGUUUUCCUGCUUCUGAAGGAUAAAUGUAAAACAUCUUGUUUGAAGGAUUGAAAUUCAUCACUGAGAAUAAAAGGAGAAAACACAGAAACAAGACCAAAAUAAAUUCAAAGACAAAAGUCAGAUCAGUUAUUAUUUUCAUCACUCAGCCAAUGAAUUGAAGUUCUAUUAAAUAUCUAAAGAUAUUAAAACCACAAUAAUGACAAUGUUCUGUGCUGAAUGGCAAAAAAGUGGACUAUACAUUACGAUCACACAAUGCUGGAUGAUAAGAAACUAUUAAUUUUUUGGGUGGAGGGAUAUCCUGAAAAAAAAAUAGAUUUAUGUAAAAAGCUACUAGUAUGUUAAGCCUAUUAAUAGAGUUUUCAUUGAUUUCAAAUGGGAAAAAAUUGUGUUUCAAAAAAGUAUUCUAGAAUUCAUAAAUAAACAUAUAUUGAUACUUACA